rnacentral:rRNA from 1 species
UACGUAGGGUGCAAGCGUUAAUCGGAAUUACUGGGCGUAAAGCGUGCGCAGGCGGCGUCGCAAGUCAGGCGUGAAAUCCCCGAGCUUAACUUGGGAAUUGCGCUUGUGACUGGCGUGCUGGAGUGUGGCAGAGGGAGGUGGAAUUCCACGUGUAGCAGUGAAAUGCGUAGAGAUGUGGAGGAACACCGAUGGCGAAGGCAGCCUCCUGGGCCAGCACUGACGCUCAUGCACGAAAGCGUGGGGAGCAAACAGG